GUGCUCGCUUCAGCAGCACAUAUAUUAAAGUUGGAAUGAUACAGAAAAGAUUAGCAUGGUCCCUGUGCAAGAAUGACACGCAAAACAGUUAGAGCCAUAAAAGUAGC
ensembl:snRNA U6 U6 spliceosomal RNA